GAAGUGCUGCCCCCCCUCCCCUCGGCCGUUUCUUUUAUCUUUUUGUUUUUUGUGGUAGGGGGGAAUAGGCAUGGCCACGGUCCUGUUCUGUUCCGGAACCGGACCGUCUAAGCUGGAACCAAAACUGCUAUGAACUGGCUGACAGUACCAUCUUUGAACCGAACCAGAAUAGGUUGGUCCAAUCUGGUUCUGGAUCAAAACUGGAUUUUUCCCUUGGGGAAAAAAUUUCAAUCAUUAGAUGUAAUUAAAACCAAACUGGAACUGGGACCAAGGGGGUCCCUGCAGUCUGAUUCCCUUGAACCAAUGAACCGGAACCGCCAAUUUUGACCUGGACCAAACUAGCAGCCAUGCCUGGGUGGGAAGCAGUGUGGGUGAUGGCAUAAUUUAUUUUGUGUUGCCAAAAAAUUAUGGGCUUGUAAAGUUUUAUUUUAGAAGGCAUGUAUAAGCUGGUUAUCUUUAACUGGUGAAUUUCCUCAUCAUAGGAAAAUUAUAAUGAAGCAUUGU
rnacentral:misc_RNA from 1 species